rnacentral:rRNA from 1 species
GAGUUAUUGGGCCUAAGCAUCCGUAGCUGGCUGAGUUAGUCCCUUGUUUAAAUCCACCGAAUUAAUCGAUUGGAUUGCGGGGGAUACUGCUCGGCUAGGGGACGAGAGAGGCAGACGGUAUUUCUGGGGUAGGGGUGAAAUCCUAUAAUCCCAGGAGGACCACCAGUUGGCGAAGGCUGUCUGCUAGAACGCGCCCGACGGUGAGGGAUGAAAGCUGGGGGAGCGAACCGGAUUAGAUACCCGGGUAGUCCCAGCUGUAAACGAUGCAGACUAGGUGUUUGGACGGCCACGUGCCGUUCUAGUGCCGCAGGGAAGCUGUUAAGUCUGCCGCCUGGGGAGUACGAUCGCAAGAUUGAAACUUAAAGGAAUUGGCGGGGGGAGCACAA